rnacentral:tRNA from 1 species
AUUCAAUUAGUAUAUACAAAUAAGUAUAUUAAGCUUCCAACUUAAAGGAUUUAUUUAAAUUGAAUA